rnacentral:snoRNA from 1 species
UUAGCAUGAUGAUGAUGAUCGUAAUUAACAUUGUCCGAUUCAGUUAUGAAGGAUUAAUUACCUCCUACUCAUUCUGA